UCUUCCACAAUGGACGAAAGUCUGAUGGAGCAACGCCGCGUGAGCGAAGAAGGUUUUCGGAUCGUAAAGCUCUGUUGCGAGGGAAGAACAAGUACGGGAGUAACUGCCCGUACCUUGACGGUACCUCGUCAGAAAGCCACGGCUAACUACGUGCCAGCAGCCGCGGUAAUACGUAGGUGGCAAGCGUUGUCCGGAAUUAUUGGGCGUAAAGCGCGCGCAGGCGGUCCUUUAAGUCUGAUGUGAAAGCCCACGGCUCAACCGUGGAGGGUCAUUGGAAACUGGAGGACUUGAGUACAGAAGAGGAAAGCGGAAUUCCACGUGUAGCGGUGAAAUGCGUAGAGAUGUGGAGGAACACCAGUGGCGAAGGCGGCUUUCUGGUCUGUAACUGACGCUGAGGCGCGAAAGCGUGGGGAGCAAACAGG
rnacentral:rRNA from 1 species